ensembl:lncRNA
CGGAGGUGUGCGUUGAAGAUCUCACGGACUGAGGCCUCUGCUAGACGUUCCCAGCACACCCUCACUGCGCAUUUAGGUGCACCGGGUCUGUCCAGCAUCCUCCCCCGCCAUGUCUCCACUCUAAUUCUGUUGUUUUCAUUCAAAUUCUAUUCUUGUCAUUCGAAUUCUGUUGUUUUCUUUCAAAUUUUGUUGUUCUGUUUCAACUUCCAUUGUUUUCAUUCAAAUUUUGUUGUUUUCUUUCAACUUCCGGUGUUUUCAUUCAAAUUCCAUUCUUGUCAUUCUAAUUCUGUUGUUCUCAUUCAAAUUCUAUUCUCUUCAUUCUAGUACUGUUUUUUUUAUUAAAAUUUUGUUCUUUUCAUUCUAAUUCUGUUGUUUUCAUUCAAAUUAUGUUGUUUUCAUUCUAUUUCCGUUAUUUUCACUCAAAUUCCGUUCUUUACAUUCUAAUUCUGUUGUUUUCUUUCAAAUUCUGUUGUUCUCUUUCAACUUCCGUUGUCUUCAUUCAAAUUUUGUUGUUUUCUUUUUUUUUUUCUUUUUUUUUUUCCUCAGAUAUUUUUAUUAAAGUUUCUGCAUCCAUUUUUACAAAAGACAAAUUGAACAAUAUGCCGUUUUCUUUUUGAAGAACAUAAAACAAUAUGAAACAUACACUCCCACCUCAUGAUUAUAGAAGUACCAGUGGGUGUACAAAAAGAAAAAAGAAAGGGUCGAAUCUAAUAAUACGAAUAGUAAACCCUGGAGUACAAGAUAGCAGUUCCUGAGUGUACAAGAGAGAUGUGGAGAGUUUCAGAGCCCACACCCCCACACAGACACAGAAAAAACAAAACACAGAAACCAAAAAAAAAACAAAACACAAACAUAAUGAGUGGUCAGCUUAGUUGUAGAGAUAAGUCAAUUCUGUAAGAGAAAAGAAAUAUGUAUAAAGUAGGUAAGUAAAUGCCAUCAUAAGGCGCAGGCACAAUAGAGUCCAUAUACUUAAACAUAAACAUCUUACUUAUGCAUAAGAUAAAAUAAAAUAGAAUAAAGUCUGAACAUGGUCAAAAAAGGGUUGCCAGGUCUUAAAAAAUUUGGCCAUAGACCCACGCAGGGUGAAUUUAAUCUUUUCGAGUUUGCUAAAAUGCAAAGCGUCUCUGAUCCAGCAUGGGGGAGAAGGGGACUUCUAAC